rnacentral:rRNA from 1 species
AGCAGCCGCGGUAAUUCCAGCUCCAAUAGCGUAUAUUAAAGUUGUUAGCAGUUAAAAAGCUCGUAGUUUGAACUUCGGGGUCUACCCAUUGGUCAGGCUUAAUUGUCUGCACUGGUGAGGCGGAUCUCUACCUUCUGAGGAACUUUCAUGCCAUUUAUUUGGUGUGGUUGGAAAUCAGGGCUGUUACUUUGAAAAAAUUAGAGUGUUUAAAGCAGACUAUCGUCUGAAUACAUUAGCAUGGAAUAAUGAAAUAGGACGGACUGAUUCUAUUUCGUUGGUUUCUAGGAUCACCGUAAUGAUUAAUAGGGAUAGUUGGGGGCAUUAGUAUUCAAUUGUCAGAGGUGAAAUUCUUGGAUUUGUUGAAGACUAACUACUGCGAAAGCAUUUGCCAAGGAUGUUUUCAUUAAUCAAGAACGAAAGUUAGGGGAUCGAAGACGAUCAGAUACCGUCGUAGUCUUAACCAUAAACUAUGCCGACUAGGGAUCGGACGAAGUUAAUUUUACAAUGACGCGUUC